rnacentral:rRNA from 1 species
UACGUAGGGGGCUAGCGUUAUCCGGAAUUACUGGGCGUAAAGGGUGCGUAGGUGGUUUCUUAAGUCAGAGGUGAAAGGCUACGGCUCAACCGUAGUAAGCCUUUGAAACUGGGGAACUUGAGUGCAGGAGAGGAGAGUGGAAUUCCUAGUGUAGCGGUGAAAUGCAUAGAUAUCACGCAGAACUCCGAUUGCGAAGGCAGCGCACCGGCGCCCUACUGACGCUCAGGCACGAAAGCGUGGGUAUCGAACAGG